rnacentral:rRNA from 1 species
CGAGCACGCGCGUGUGGCAUAUCAAUAAGCGGAGGAAAAGAAACUAACAAGGAUUCCCUUAGUAACGGCGAGUGAAGCGGGAGGAGCUCAAAUUUGAAAUCUUCAAGGUUCUACCUUGACGAAUUGUAGUUUAUAGAAGUGUUUUCUGUAGUGGAGUUUGGUAAAAGUUCUUUGGAAUAGGACAUCAUAGAGGGUGAGAAUCCCGUAUUUGGAUCAUUAUUUCCUAGCGUUGUGAUACACUUUCAAAGAGUCGGAUUGUUUGGGAAUGCAGUCCAAAAUGGGCGGUAAAUUUCAUCUAAAGCUAAAUACUGGCGAGAGACCGAUAGCGAACAAGUACCGUGAGGGAAAGAUGAAAAGAACUUUGAAAAGAGAGUUAAACAGUACGUGAAAUUGUCAAAAGGGAAGCGUUUGACACCAGUGUUGUUUUUCCGAAAAUCAAUUACGAAUGUUUUAGUUUUUGAGGAGUUAUGACUUCAUCGGCUUGCUUCUCUCUUUAUGAAACUUUCUUAAUGCACUUUUCGGUUAACAAGUCAACAUCAAUUUCUUUUGUUGUAAAAGGGUAUGAGGAAGGUGGCUUUCUUUUCGGAGAAAGUGUUUAUAGCCUUGUAGCCUCUGCAAUCGGAGAGAUUGAGGUCUGCAGCGUAGAUCCUUCGGGGUUAGAUACGUUUGUGCUAAGUUAUAGCUUUUCAUAGACAACUUAGUUGACUAUGUUUAGUCUUGUAGCUUACUCGCUUAUGCUAUUUUACCUACGCUUAGGAUGUUGAGCGCAUGUCUCUCUCU